GUGACGAAGCGACGCCGCGUGUGGGAAGAAGGCCUUCGGGUUGUAAACCACUGUCGGGAGUUAGGAAAUGUAAGGGUGCUAAUAGUAUCCCUACUUGACUAAGGCUCCGGAGGAAGCCACGGCUAACUCUGUGCCAGCAGCCGCGGUAAUACAGAGGCGGCAAGCGUUGUUCGGAAUUAUUGGGCGUAAAGAGCACGUAGGCGGCCUUGUAAGUCAGUUGUGAAAGCCUUCUGCUUAACGGAAGAACAGCAGCUGAUACUGCAAGGCUAGAGUGCGGAAGGGGAGAGUGGAACUUCUGGUGGAGCGGUGAAAUGCGUAGAUAUCAGAAGGAACACCGGCGGCGAAGGCGACUCUCUGGUCCGUAACUGACGCUGAGUGUGCGAAAGCUAGGGGAGCAAACGGGAUUAGAUACCCCGGUAGUCCUAGCCGUAAACGAU
rnacentral:rRNA from 1 species